rnacentral:sRNA from 1 species
GGAAAGGGGAAAGGGGGCAUUUCUGAUGGCCGAGACAGCCAGCUACGAGUAUGGCUUUAAGCAGCGACUGGCCAACGCACAUUGCAAAAUAAUUUGUGUAAAUCAUUGGCGCUCGCUGCCAGUGCAUUAUAUAAGGCAAAUACC